rnacentral:rRNA from 1 species
CCUACGGGAGGCAGCAGUAGGGAAUAUUGGUCAAUGGGCGCAAGCCUGAACCAGCCAUGCCGCGUGCAGGAUGAAGGCUCUCUGGUUGUAAACUGCUUUUGUACAGGAGCGCGUACUGUAAGAAUAAGCACCGGCUAAUUCCGUGCCAGCAGCCGCGGUAAUACGGGAGGUGCAAGCGUUAUCCGGUUUUAUUGGGUUUAAAGGGUGCGUAGGCGGCUUAUUAAGUCAGUUGUGAAAUCCUAGUGCUUAACGCUAGAACUGCGAUUGAUACUAUUAGGCUUGAGUUAAGAAGAGGUAAGCAGAAUUUAUGGUGUAGUAGUGAAAUGCUUAGAUAUCAUAAGGAAUACCAAUAGCGUAGGCAGCUUACUGGUCUUUACUGACGCUGAGGCACGAAAGCGUGGGGAGCAAACAGGAUUAGAUACCCUUGUAGUC